rnacentral:lncRNA from 1 species
UGCAGAGCCCAGGCGCGUGGGUCGGUGUCGGGUGUGUGUGUACGUCUGUGUGUGUAAUGAAACUGGACGCCUUCCUUCCCGGCGAUCUUGACUUAACCUGUCAGCAGAGGGCUUGAGGUUAGACCACAGGUUGAACCUAGGUGGCUGCUGGAGAGGCCUUGAAAUCAUGGCAGCAGCAAGACCCAACUGGGGCAGCAUCAUGUCUGGGUUUGAAUCCCGGUUCAGCCACUUUCCAGCUGUGUGAUGUGGGGCAAGUCAGGCUCAGAUCCCACCAGGACUGCAACCCUUAGCCCUGUCUGGUCUCCCCUGCAACCCUUGAGGCCACCCUGGAGGCUCAGCCAUCCAUUCACCCCAGAAAGAAGCUGGAAGCUCAAGCCUGACUAUAGGACCAGCACAGCCCCUGGCCAGCCGCAUGCUGCAGAGGCUCUGGCUGACUGUCUCUGCUCGCCUGUUCUGUUGUUUGCAUGUUCUCAGAAUAGGAGACCCCUAAAGACAGAAACUGCAUGUGUCCUGCGCAGGAAAUCUUGUAUUGGCCCUCUCAGCAGCCUUCUGGUUCCAAACCCUAUGGAAACUGCGCUCACCAAGUCAGCAGAGGCCUCCUCCUCUCAGCCUCAACUUCUUGGGGGAAAUUGGUUCUAGGGCCAGCAAGACUUCCAAAGAGCCUCUUCCCAGCAGGUUCAACCUCCCAUCAUCUGAAAGUCUUUCUGCUCCCCUCAGGGAUCCCCCACCAAGCCCUCUGCCCCUGAAGGUUGGUGCUCUGAGGGCAUCCUCCUCUCUCUGUGCACUCGCCAUCAGAGUGGUUUAGCUCCCCUUGUUCCAAUUCCAGUUGGCCACAAGCAGCUCCCAAGUCAAUUUCUCUGGUUCACUGUCCAUUAGUUGACCCAGCUAGAACCCCACCCCUGGCUCCUGACGCCUCUCCUGCUGGACUCUUCAGCAUGUUGGAUGAAGGCCAUUAGUGCUGAACUCACCAUACUCUUCCAAGAUCUGCCUGCUCCUCCCCAUCACCCCAGAGCAAGCCCUUGGCUCCUCUCCCCUUCCUAGAAACUCCCACCAGUGUUGUCAGUUCUCUUGGGUCAUGAUUCCUUAAAAAUGAACACAGAAUCUAAUUUUAUUUUCAAAACAUGAAAACAGUUCACCAUUUAACUUUGCUCUUAUUAAGUCUAUUAUCCUGAUUCAUCCUCUUUGGUAUUAAAGUCAAUAAAUCGUAUAAAUCUUGAAACUUUUUUAACUCAGAAAAAUAAAUUCUGUUAUGACAAUCCUUGACAUGUUAAUCUGUGUUGUGUAAACUGUUAGCUUUAAAACACAAAAUGCUUUUUUUAACAUGGUUGUGUCUUAGAAACUUCCUGCACAUCAUUGUGCUUGCUUUUAGUAACAGCAGACUAGGUAAUGGUGAUCAACCUUCUUGCUGAGGGCAACUAGAAGAGCUAUAUAUUUUUUUAAAAACUACCACUACCACCACAACACCAGACCAUUUGAAGCAUCUGAGCACUAAUAA